GCGGUUAUACAAAUWAUAUAAUUAAUGGUAAUWAAUUAAUAAUWAUAAUUUAAGUHUAAAAUUUAKGRGGUGAAAUCUUAAAUUUAAUAAAAAAUUUUUUAUAAUAABGAUUUAAUAAAUUUUUAUAAUAAACUAGGAUUAGAUACCCUAUUAUUAAAAAUGUGAAUUUUAUAUUAAAUUADUAUUAGUUAUGUUCUUGAAAAUAAAAAAUUUUGGCGGUAUUUUAAUCUUUUCAGAGGAACCUGUUUUUUAAAUGAUAAUCCACGAUUUAAUUUACUUUUAUUUUUAGUUUACAUAUCGUCGBAAUUAAAUAUUUUUUUAGAAUUAUAAAUAUUUGAAAUUUUUAAUUUAAAAAUAAUUCAGAUCAAGGUGUAGUUUAUAUAAAAGUAGAAAUGGGUUACUAUAUAAUUAUUUWAGGRUAAGUAUUUUUWAAAUAUAUUGAAUUUGGAUUUGAAAGUUAUUUUUAUUAAUUAAUUAAAAUG
rnacentral:rRNA from 1 species